rnacentral:lncRNA from 1 species
UCACCUGGGAGGAACCAUCUAUUGUCCUGUCCUGAAGGGAGUUCCUCCUAGGUCUGGUCAGACCUUUCUAUGAUGGAUUUUUGGAAACACAGCAGAAGGACAUUCACUCAUUGCCCCCAUUUGCCACUAUAGGAAUAUGCACCUCCCUUUAAUUCACUCAAUUUGCUUUCAUCUUGAUCUAUUAUGUUGUUGUAGACCCAGUUUCAGUUGUUAAAGUAUUGGAUUACUGGGUUAUCAGUUCUAAGGCCCUGGCAAGGGUGGUGGGGAACAGGUCCCACAUAAGUGCCCAUAUCGAGAGCUGUAUGCCUAAAUUGGGUGGGACACCAGGGACAAGAUUCCCUGGUUUUAUAGCUUAGGGGCCUGAGGAUGCAACAUAGAGCUUCCUUAGAUCCAUUUGGAGAUACAACCUGCUCUAAUACUUGGGAGAGGAAGUGAAAGUCUGAAGCACUAGUAUCUAGGAGACAGGGAUCAGAGGAAGUAGAUUCAGAGGUAAGGAGAAUUUUGGGGCUACACUUUCAAGAAAGUCAUGGUCAGGACCCAGGAGGUAUGGGUCAGAGGGAGAGGUAGGGGUGCACGCAUGGGCGACUGUUGAGCAGAGACUUCUGGCUGUGCUAUGAUCUCAACUGGCUAAUGCCGGGAGUUCAGGAUGACAGCUUUCUGCCUCUAGUUGGCCCUCAGCUUCCCUAGGAAAAUUCAAAGUGGAAGCUGGCUCCAGGCAGACCAACACUCCCAACCCAGAAGGGUUGGGGUUUGUUAGAAAGCCCUUUCCCAGACAGCCUCACACCUGAGUCUUAAGUCAGGCAGCCAUGCUAAUCAUUUCUAACUGGCUGACAGGUGCCUGGCAUUUUCCUCCAAUUAUAAGGAAGGAUAGGACAAAAUAGCAAGUGAAAGUGGUCCAAUAUUACUCACUGCUUUGGAGGUCCCUUUGUGGUUGCCAAAAUGUUACUGGGGGGGGGGGGCAGUUCUUGUUCUUAGAGCUCCCAAGAUGGUGCAGACCACUUCCAAAAUGGUGGCAAGCUUCUUGUUCUCUGACCCGGGGUUCUUGGCCUCACAGAUUCCAAGGAAUGGAAUGUUGGGCCAUGUGGUGAAUGUUAUAGCUCUCCUAGAAGCUGUGGGUCAUGGAACAGAACCGUGGAACCCAGCGACUAGUGUUCAGCUCAAUUAGGAUGAACCCAGGCACUUAGCCAAGCAGGAACAAUGGUGAGCCUUUAGCCCAAUCAGGAGUGGCAAUGGGCAC